UGGACAAAUUAUUGUAUUCGACUAUAUUCACGGCGUGAAACAGGGGAUUACACUGUUUUUAAACGGAAAGUGAAUCAAUUAACAUGAUAGACUCCU
rfam:Nicotiana attenuata strain TT chromosome 2, whole genome shotgun sequence.